rnacentral:rRNA from 1 species
AUUGAACGCUGGCGGCAGGCCUAACACAUGCAAGUCGAACGGUAACAGGAAACAGCUUGCUGUUUCGCUGACGAGUGGCGGACGGGUGAGUAAUGUCUGGGAAACUGCCUGAUGGAGGGGGAUAACUACUGGAAACGGUAGCUAAUACCGCAUAACGUCGCAAGACCAAAGAGGGGGACCUUCGGGCCUCUUGCCAUCGGAUGUGCCCAGAUGGGAUUAGCUAGUAGGUGGGGUAACGGCUCACCUAGGCGACGAUCCCUAGCUGGUCUGAGAGGAUGACCAGCCACACUGGAACUGAGACACGGUCCAGACUCCUACGGGAGGCAGCAGUGGGGAAUAUUGCACAAUGGGCGCAAGCCUGAUGCAGCCAUGCCGCGUGUAUGAAGAAGGCCUUCGGGUUGUAAAGUACUUUCAGCGGGGAGGAAGGGAGUAAAGUUAAUACCUUGCUCAUUGACGUUACCCGCAGAAGAAGCACCGGCUAACUCCGUG